rnacentral:rRNA from 1 species
ACGGGAGGCAGCAGUGGGGAAUAUUGCGCAAUGGGCGGAAGCCUGACGCAGCGACGCCGCGUGGGGGAUGACGGCCUUCGGGUUGUAAACCUCUUUCGACUCCGACGAAGCGAGAGUGACGGUAGGAGUAGAAGAAGCACCGGCCAACUACGUGCCAGCAGCCGCGGUAAUACGUAGGGUGCGAGCGUUGUCCGGAAUUAUUGGGCGUAAAGAGCUCGUAGGCGGUGUGUCACGUCGAUCGUGAAAACUUGGGGCUUAACCCUGAGCGUGCGGUCGAUACGGGCAUCACUUGAGUUCGGCAAGGGAGACUGGAAUUCCUGGUGUAGCGGUGAAAUGCGCAGAUAUCAGGAGGAACACCGGUGGCGAAGGCGGGUCUCUGGGCCGAUACUGACGCUGAGGAGCGAAAGCGUGGGGAGCGAACAGGAUUAGAUACCCUGGUAGUCCACGCCGUAAACGGUGGGCGCUAGGUGUGGGGGCCAUUCCACGGUCUCUGUGCCGCAGCUAACGCAUUAAGCGCCCCGCCUGGGGAGUACGGCCGCAAGGCUAAAACUCAAAGGAAUUGAC